UGUACCAAAAGUAGAACUUUUUGGAAAAGAAAAGAGAGAGCAACCUAAAGAAAUUUUGGAAGAAAAAAAAACCCUAGCAAGUGCUGCCGCCGCCGUCCGCCGUCGCUGAGCGCCGCCUUCAGCCAGAAAACCGCGUCGGACGUCCCUGCAGAUCAGCCGACCCGCGUCGUCAGCCGCCCGAGUCCGGAAGCCGUGCACCGCGCCCCGUCGCACGACCCGUCGCAUCUCUGCCCCGCGCUCAAACGAACUCCUGUCGAGCGUCGCGUCUCCUCCGCCUGCACUCCGUCGCCCGAGCCGGAGACUCGACCCGCAUCACCCCUUCACGACCCGAGCCGCGCCUUCUGCCGCAGCCAAUCCACGUUUUCGACCCGAACAAGAGACGCGCGCCUUCGACCCAGAACCCGACCCCUGCAGCCGCUCCGCGCCGUUAAGCCGCGCCCGCGUGCACCCGCAAGCUGAGCCCCGCCUCCCUUCUACCACAAGCCGAGUCGCGCCUCCCUUCUACCGCAAGUCGAGCCGCACGCGCGCAGCACCUGCACUUGAGCCAAGUCGGGCCUGCGCACGAGCCGAGCGGUGCCUGCGCCCAAUCCGAGCGAUCCCUACUUUUCCAGCCGAGCCGCCAAGCCUUUUGAGCCACCUAAUUUUUGGUCAUUUCCCCAAGUGUCAGUGAUAAGUUUUUGGAACACCUUGGACCAAUUGACUUGGAGCGUUGGACUUCUUCAGCAAGGGCACAAGCGUUGCAACCUCAACCUAGGGACCACGCUGCUUGGAAAGCACAUUGUCUGGCUGUUAGGACUCGUCGAGCAAAUCUCCAGGUAUAAAUCAAGUUCUCGGUGUUUGAUAUACUAUCAUAGUCUACUAGAAGCUCCCGAUUUAUUUUCAGUAUGUGGGUGGAGUGUACAUCGUCGCUGUAUAGCCAUAUAAGUUUGGAUUUUGUAAGCACUAAGUAAAGUGCGGGUAGUGAG